rnacentral:lncRNA from 1 species
AAAGUCAUAAGAAUCAGGGAGCCUGCCCCAAAUUGCCUCCUAUGAUAACUUUCCACAAAGACUGGAGGGGAGGCUUCAAACAUCUUCCUGCAGUGUCCAGCAAGACAGCGAGGCAGACUCCCUUUCUCCUGCCAAAGCCACGUGGAGCCAGACAGAACCACAAGCAUACCUGUGGUGCUUGGAGGCCCAAGUAGAAACUUGAAUGCUCACGGCUGCAUUGGCAGCUUCUACUUGCCUGCCUGGAUCACCGUUCCUCAUGAGAACUUGGAAAAGCAGGACUAUCAUUCUUGCUUGACAGACGAAGAAACCAAGCCUCAGGACUGCGUGCAAUUCUACUUGGAGAUCUUCAUAACACCUUAAGGGAAAAAUCCUUUUUGAAAGAAAAACAAGUCUGGGUGGUGCUUGAAAAUUCAGAAGGCAGCUAGAAACUCUGCCAAUUACAACUGGUGAUUGCUGAGUUCUGGAGACAGACUGGGCUUCUGCUUUCUUUUGGUGGAGGUGUCUGCUUGCAGAAAAUUUAUGUUCUGGGAUUUACAACUUCAGGGAGACAAAGGAAACUCCAGCUCAUCUCCCACAUCAUUGAUUGAGAGGACCAUUUUCUGACUGUCUGCACACGUUUCCUAUACUACCCUUUAAUGCAACAAUGGGAUGAAGAGAUGAAGACUUCUAGCAGGCUACCUCAGAAAGGUUGCUGACCAAAGGCUGUAUGGACCAAAAAGUCAUAACACCACCCUGGAUGAAAGGACAUUUACCUAAGGAAUUACCCGCUCUCAAUUCUUCCCAGGGAUGGGCAUUUGAAUUAUUUCCAGUUUUUGGCUAUUAUGAAAAAAACUGCUAUGAACAUUCAUACACAAGUGUGUGUGUGGACCCAUGUUUUCACUGAUCAAGGCCUAAAUACCUACGUGGUGCUUCGUGAACCCUGGAUGCUACAGUCUCUGGCCACAGCACUAAAUGUAUGCUGAGAUCUGGCUUCACGGUCGAGGGUGUUGCUGGUUUUCAAUGUGCCUGACAUAGGAUCAAUGGUGAAUGCACCAGAAGCCUCAUCAGUCAGAAAAUACUCAGUUUGCCCAUUCAGGCCUUCAUCCUUGUCCACAGCUGAAAGCACAAGAACCACUGUUCCCACUUCAGCAUCUUCUCUCACAGAGGACUGGUAAUAAAGUGUGGGAAAAGAAGGACUGUGGUCAUUGGCAUCCAAAACUCUAACUUGCAGGUGUAUUACAGAGCUCCUAGGUGGAUCUCCCAGGUCAGAGCACAGAAUGACAAGGGUAAAAUUGCUGAUUUGCUCCCGGUCCAAAGCACGAGUGGUUGAGAGUUCUCCUGACAUCUCAUUUAUAGUAAAGCACUCAUCAGUAUUUCCAUCUAUUAAAGAAAACAAUUACAAAUUCAUUUGAAUUGAAAAAGUAGCAGCUCUUUGCUAGCACUAUCUAUGGUAUUCAUUUAUACAUUCAUUAAAAAUAUAUUUAUUCCCGAUUAUAUUGUAUCCUAGCACUUUUGUAAAUAUUGGGGAUAUAACAGUAAGCAUGAUAAAGGCUCUGCCCUCAUGAAACUUCUAUUGAGGGGAUAAACAGAAUAAUAUGAUUCAAUGCCUAUCUUUAAUCAGUCAAUAAUUAGAACACUUGCUUUCACUAAUUUGCAGCCGUAUGAUUUUUUGUGUGCAUCUACAACUUUUAAUUUUAAUAUAUUUUUCCUCAUAAGAGGAUGAAGAUAUAUGUUUUAUUUAACACAAAACAAUAGAUGAGGAUAAAAAAAACAGAAUAUAAUGUCCUUUUUUAAGAUAUCAAUCAGAAAUGAACAGAUUUGAUUUGUAGUUAUUUUCUCAAAUAGUACCCACUACAGUAUUCAUGCCUGUUAUACUAUUGCAGUAAGCCUUCUCUUCUACAUGUCCACAGCAUUUUGUACAAGAAUCAUAACACUUUGGUUAGAGUUAGUUGGACACUUGACUAUUUCUUCCAAAACAUAAAUAAGGACAUUGUUCUAUUCAUCUAUUCCUUAAAAAAAAUCUGCCCUUUAUUAUAUUCCAUCGUAUCAAGUAGAAUAAAACUUAAAAUUGAACACAGGGACAAAAAGCUUUCAAAGACAUUUUUAAAUAACCCUGAAAAUUAGUGAAGAAAAAUGUGGUUCAUAUGCUUGCCAGCCAUAUUCUUGGAUGAAGAGCAGGCCCAAUAGUGUGGGAACUUACUAGAGUCUGCAUAUCAGAGGCAUAUGAGGACCAAGUGGAAUGGCAUUCAAAGGAAACAACAGCAAUAGGUAGCUUUAGGGAGGAGGAGAGGGCCCUGCAUUUGUAUUCAUGAGGAACAGUUAAUUUACACCAAAAGUAGAGAUGAUUGGACAAACCCACAUUUCUGUAGUAUUUGUGGCUGAUAAAGUGAUUCAGUCAUUCAGCAAACAUUUGAUGAGCAUCUACUAUGUGCCAAGUUUGUGCUCAAGAUCACAGAUAUGAAGGGAGUAAGACAUGACCUAGCUCCAAGAGUUCACAGUCUAAAAGGAAAGGCUGGUCAAUACUCGGGUAUUAAAGUACCAUGUGAAAAUCAUAUGUACAGAGUGCUAAAUGAGUACAUAUAGAUAGUGCUAGCCAAGGGGUGCUAUUUCUCUGAGAAGUACAGAGAAAGGGCACAUAGUCCUAUGUUAGUAAGUUCAAGAAAUGCUUAUUGGAAAAAGUGACAUCAAAUCUCACUCCUAAAGUGGAGAAAGCCAUACUACAAGUUUUGGGGAGAGUGUUCUAUGCAGAGGAAAGAGCCCGUGGGAAGUUCUAGGAAUAUAAGAAUUAACAGGCUGCAAAUGUUUGGGUGUGACUAGUACACAGGGUUCCUGGGUGUUUGUAUGUGGCAAGUAGGAAAAGGGCUGGCAGUAGCGGUAGAGGAAAGACAUGAAUUUGGGAGGUAAGCAGGGGGUCAAAUUGUGAAGGGCUCUCUGUAUACUGCUGAAGAUUCUAUAGUUUCUCCUGAAAUCCAUGAGGGAGCCCCCUGAAGGAUUUUGGACAGGAAAGUGUCAUGAAUCAAAUUUCUAUUUUAAGAAUAGUAUCGAGGCAGCAAUGUCAAAGUUUGUUUAGAAAAUAGGAUGGUUCCUGUAAUCCCAGAACUUUUGGAGACCAAGGCGGGAGGAUUGCUUGAGUCCAGGAAUUUGAGUCCAGCCUGGGCAACAUAGUGAGAC